GAGCAUUUCAUUAUCCGUCAUAUGGGCAUAAUGAUGAUAUCCUAAGGGUUUAUUUUUACCAAAUUCUGUAAUGACUAUGAAAAUAUGAUAUGAAUUGUAAAUGUUAGUUGGUAUUGAAUGUUAAUAAAUUACAAGAUGCAUAUUUUGUUCAAAUUAUAAUAGAAGCUAUGAGCCUUAGAAUACAAAGAGAUUACUCAUAUUGUAAGUUCUUCCCCAUUAUAUUACAAUAUUCAGAAAGCAAAGAAAGGUAUUUCAAACAGCCAGCAAAUAAAAGGCAUGACUGGGUAUAACUGAAUCUGAAAUACUGAUUAACUCUAAAAAUUGUUGCCAGGUUAUUUCUCAAGUUAACUCUAUAAGGAAUGUGUUAAUAUAAUUCAGAUUAAACUUAUAAUACUCUACUACAUUUAGGAGAUAAGCAGUGGUGUGUAUUAUGGAAACUAGGAAGAUGACUAAGGUAAAAUCUCUGCCUUUGAGAACAAUAGUCUUUAGUCAUUCAUCAUCAGUUGGAAUCAUUGCUUAUAAAAUUAAUUAUUCCCUUCCCCCCUCUCUUCCUCUUUUUCUUCCUCCUCCAUUCCCUCUGGUCUCCAUGUUUUGCUGUGUAUCUAUAUAUAUUUACAUGUGUGCAUGUAUAUAUAUGAAUAUAUAUGUACAAUUGAAUAUAUGUUUAUAUCAUCUAAUAGCCUCUGGGAUAAUUUCUUACCCAGAAAAUUACUUGUCCCAAAACAUACUCUUGCCUCAGUCUUUUUCACUAAGUAAAUGGCACCACCAUUCCCCUAGUUGCUCAAACCACAGGGAACCUUGAAAAAUAAGAGUGAAAAUAAACAUAUUUUUAUAAAUGAUCUUGAGGCCAUAAGAGAAAAUAUGAUAGUAGUUAAUAAUAUUGAAAGCUUAUACAUCAGAUAUUGCCAAUCUCAUUCAAACCUCAGAACUAUGCUAUAGUUACAAAAAGACCUGAAUAAACAUAUUGGCCAACCCAAUAGUUAUUUCUGUAAAUCCAGUUUGCAGGUGAGGAAACUGAGAAUCAGAGAAUUUUAGUAGCUUNNNNNNNNNNNNNNNNNNNNNNNNNNNNNNNNNNNNNNNNNNNNNNNNNNNNNNNNNNNNNNNNNNNNNNNNNNNNNNNNNNNNNNNNNNNNNNNNNNNGUGAGGAAAUUGAGAAUCAGAGAAUUUUAGUAGCUUGCUCAAAGUCAUACAGUUAAUGUGUGAUAAAACCUAGAAUGAAAACCUAAAUCUGUCUUAUUGUAAAAAUCAUUUUUGUGCAUGUGUUUGUGUGUAUGUAUUUCAUAAAAUUCUAUGUAAGUAUUACAAAAACUGUAAUAAGGAAAGUGUACAUGCUUUGUGACCCCAUGGACUGUAACCAUACAGGAUUCUGUCCAUGAAACUUUUCAGGCAGGAAUACUGGAGUAGGUUGCCAUUUCCUACUCCAAAGGAUCUUCCUGACCCAGGGAUAGAACCCAUGUCUCCUGUGUCUCCUGCAUUGGCAGGUGGAUUCUUUACCACUGUGCCACCUGGUGAGCCAGUAAGGAAGGCAAACUUGAGCAUUUAAUCUGAAAUGUGAAAAGUACAAAAAACCUUCUGUGUAUAUUGAUAGAAAUCAGAUAAAGAUCAAAGGCCAGAUUCCAUAAAAGGACACAUUUUAGGGGAACGAACGGAUCCUUUUUUAGGGAUAAAGGAAUUCAUCAAAGAGAUAUUUUAAUAGACUGAUCUUGCUGUCUUGACGUGAUUAAUUGCUUCUGAAGAUGGCCCCCUUCUUCCCAUCUCUGUGUCCAUGACACUUCAUCCUGAGGAAGGGGAGUCUACUUUUCCUCCCUUUGAAUCUGGGUUGUCCUUGUGACAAGUUUGUCAAAAAAGUUUACAGCAUAAGUCAUAUUCUGAUAGUUUCAGGCCUAAAUCUUAAGAAAUUGGUAGGCUCUACGUUAAUUCUCUUGGAAGUUAGUAGCCAUAUAAAGAAGUUCAACUACCAUGUCAGAGAGGAGAAGCCUCUUGGAUGGAUAGGUGCAUGGACUAAUGGGUGGCUGGGUGGAUGACUAAAUAGAAAGAUAGAUACUGAUUGAUAGAUGGAUAAAUGCUGGCAAGAAGAUAGACAACUAUGUACAUAGAGAGAAGCCCUGGAUAAUAAGAGAAUUUGAAAGAAAAGAGAGACGACCAGCCAGCCCCCAGCUGAUCCAACCACUCCAGGUUAUCAACGUGUAAGUGAAGCUUCAAUUACCCCAGUCAACACCGCAUGGCUCAAUGACAAUACAUCACCACCAAGCGGCCUUCAAACUCCAGAAUAAGGAGAAAAUGAAGUUGUUACUGCUCUUUGUUUUAGUUACCUACUGCUCUGAAACAAACCACUAAAUCAUAGACAAUGCAUAACUGAAACAUCUAGAAAAUUGGUUCAUAAUACAUUUUACUUUGAGCAACAGAACCAAAAAAUCAUGACUGUAUAAUGACUUGCUCAGUUUUUUAAUCAAGCCGAAGCUGAACAACAGAUUCUUAUUACUUGCAGCUUAGUGGUAACUAUAAAAAGGUGCUAAUAUAGUGCCAGUAGUCACAUAUUUUUAAUGUUCAAAUUUGGAAAUUGCAGGACUCUG
ensembl:lncRNA